CUCCCUAGCUCCCAUUCCUAUACGCAUUCUUAAGAGCAACAACACUAAUCCCUUCUCUCCAUCCAGAACUAAACCCAACUACUCACCUUUCCCCACAAACCGUGCGUACCUAGGAAGAAAAGAAAACACUUAAACUGCACAUUCCCUUCCUAUCUUCCCACCUCAGCCGUGUGAGCAUGAUAAAGGGGAGAAAAUAAAUCGGAUCCUGGUCAAUGGUUAAAGACACAAUCAAUUCACCUUAGUUUCUUUCUAUUCAUGCGCAUGACAAGGGAACAACCCAAGAAACUGACUGUUCUUCUUUGAUUCAGAAUCGCACUUCACUUCUCUCAUCCCCCCUUCUCAGCCGCAAGCCUCACGGAAGAACUCAAAGGAGAACCAUGCUUGCAUCCCAUUUUCCAUCAUCUUCUCCAAACCGUGAACCCAUGGGAAGAGAGCAAAAACACCUAAGCACAUUCCCCUAUUCCUUCCUUGCUUCGGUCGAGCGGCAGCAAUUAAGGAGCUGCAACAGAAGCUCAUUCUUCACUUUAUUCAUUGUUGGCCGAAGACCAACCUUCAAGGAGGGCCACUCCUUGUUCGCGGGUGGACUCGGUGUGCAGUCAAAGAGGUGCGCAAAACCCCUAGAGAACGUGGACUAUUCUGGUGCUGUUUGAUUAAUAUUUGGGCACACAAGGUAAGUGUUUGAUGGUGAGACCUAUUGUGACUAUUAGUUAGCGUAUGGAAUUUUGAAUUGUUGCUCACAUGUGCCUUUGGAUUUGUUUUCUGUUAAAUAUUAUUUGUGAUCUGUCCCUGGACUUCACAUGUUGGAAAUUCUGUCUUGGAAAUGAUAACUGAUUGGAUUAUGAACUGUUGGAAAUUCUGUCUUGGAAAAGAUAACUUGAUCUGGAUUAUGAACUGUUAGAAAUUCUGCCUUGGAAUUACAUAUGCUUCGAAUUUAUGUUGCCAUAUUCUGUAAACUAUGACUCUCUGAUUCUGAUAUUUAGUCAUGCUCAUGAACAUCAUAAAAUUUCAUUUGAUCACGUGUGUGCAAAGCAAAACAUAUCAUAGCAUACAGCAUAUUUAUGCAUUCAAGUUUGGAAACCGAAGUAUUUGAUAAAAGUAAGCAUAUGUUUGAGCACGCAUCAUGUAGGCAUCCCUCAGGUACUAGGGAGAAGGAACCGUGGCUCAGUUCGCAUAGGUCGCAGUUGGAAUUCCCCUCUGAUGGGCCAAAUGGAAUAUCCACUGUGUUAGUUAGUAGUACGAGCACUACAGUGCUAUGAACGUACAUUAUUCUGGCGUUAUAUACGCACUCUGAUUAGUAUUCUGGCAUUAUAUACGCACUCUGAUUAGUACUCUGGCGUUAUACACGCAUUCUGAUUUUGUUUUAGCAUCUGUUCUGAAUUUAAAUGUUGAUGCGACUGUUUUAGAAUUUUGUACCUAGACUGGUAUUGUGGCAAUACUGGUUUUACUAUCACACGACUGGGAUUUUUCGCACCCCUUUUGGGGCUCAAUUUUUAUAAAUUGCAGGGAGCCGUAGAAGCAUAUGAUGAUUUGGUUAUUUUGGAUAAUUGCUGUUGACUGCUGCUGUUUGGAAAUUUCUGUUGUUGUCUGCUAUGUCUUUUGGAUGUUGGCUGACGAUUGUAUAUUGAUGUAAUAUUUUGGGAAUAUGGACUACUGUUGGAAGAGUGAUUUAAAUUGUUGUUUAUAAGAUUUUUAUGGUCAGCUUGUAAU